UACCCACCCAACUGGCUGUCAAUGAUCCAGCACCAAAUAUUGAUACUAAAAAUUCCGGCUCAACGUAACAGAAUGCCUUCAAAGGUUUUGCAGUCUCCCUAUGUGAAUUCUUUUGAAUCAACUGAUAAGGGCAAGGAAAAAACAGACGAUCAUAUCCGCCCAUACACUCUAUUUGAUGAUUAUCGCAUCACAUCUCAACUCUCGUCAGGUUUAAUGCAAGAGUUCUUACAGGGGAUUUAAAAGGGACUCCAAAAAACACAUGUGAAUAACACAUAGGUGUAAUUUCUUACUAUCUACGUAAGAAGUCAAAAUUAAGAUGUUUGGAUCAAUACAGAUACAUUACGGUCAACUUUGUUCAAGUCAUAUAUCAACAUUGUAUACAAGAGGUAUUAUUGCGCUCCCGCAGAUGAAACUCUUACUACACAAGAUCAUGUUGGACGUGGUAUUGCUAUAUCUUGUUAAGUAAGGUCUAUAAAAGACAUCAUAAAUGGAUUUUUGAUCCCUGCUACUUUACCGUGGUAUCUAGUAGAUGAGAUUUAUAUUCCUGUUAAUUGUGGCGAAGAUUUUCAUUGGGUGUUGGUUGUGGUUGUUUUAAAAAAAAAGGUUAAUACGAGUGUAUGACUCAUCUAUGGGAUUAAGGAAUAUAGUUCAUUCCGAAGAGAUAAAGCAACUGUCUAUAAUGCUCCUAAACUAUCUACAUGAUAGUGGUUUCUUUGAUAAAGUGGAGAGAAUUAAUUGGUCAUCAUUGGAGGCGUACAAAGACAAGGACACUGGUGAAUUGUUGGAUCCACAACAGUCCUUUGUGGUGGAAUAUGUUCAAGACAUUAUGCAACAACAAAGUGAUAGCUUGUUAGUAUUGUAAAACAAUUUAUUUACUUAUACAUUCAAUUCACUUUUUAAUGUAUCUACAUUUAUUUGCAAUGACUGUGGAAUGUAUGUCGUUGUUUUUGCUGAA